UACAGAGGUCUCAAGCGUUGUUCGGAUUCAUUGGGCGUAAAGGGUGCGUAGGUGGCGCGCUAAGUCAGGUGUGAAAGUUUCGGAGCUUAACUCCGAAACUGCAUUUGAUACUGGCGUGCUUGAGGACUGGAGAGGAGACUGGAAUUCGAUGGUGUAGCAGUGAAAUGCGUAGAGAUCAUGAGGAGACCAGUGGCGAAGGCGGGUCUCUGGACAGUUCCGUGGACAGCUGGAGGCA
rnacentral:rRNA from 1 species